UUUUAGGAGGUACGACCUAUAAAGAAUUGGGAGAGACUAAAAUCUUAAACCUAGGGCGUGUUAGGCUAAGUUCUUCAAGCGGAUCUAGUAUGAGUUUGGUGAGAUCCGAUAAAAUUCGGGUAGGUUUUUUUUUUUUAAAAAAAAAUAAAGAUUAAAUAAAAAAAAUGCUUAAUUAAUAAUUAUUAUACACAUUGAGCAGUAAAUGCCUUGUUUUUAUAAUCAAAUGUACUGGGUUCGAAACCCAGCGCACCUUUUUUUUUUUCUUAUUAACUUAUCUCUAAAUCUGCAAAAUCCCAAUUAGAUAGAUCAAACGUCAAACCCUAACUUCUUUCUCUUCUCUCUCCUAAUUCUCAUUGAAGAAAGCCAGAAACGAGAUAUCUUCUCUCUCUACUCACCACUUAACGGAGGUCGGCGGUUCAACUCCACGGUUACCACCAAGCAGUGGCUCUUCGUGAUUUUGUCGAUCGCCUGAAAUUUUUUUACUCUAUAUCGUAAUACAGGGCGUACAAGUACAUGGAAGAAGAUAUAUGUUAAAGACAAAAACGAAGAGUUGAUCUAUUAGCAUUUUAGAUUGUUUAUAGUAAUUUGACCCAUUUCCCUCUUUAAGGGUUACAUUCCUUCCCCGAUGUACAGAAUUA